UGGGGAGUUUGGCUGGGGCGGCACGUCUGCAAAACGAUAACGCAGGCGUCCUAAGGGUAGCUCAUGAGGGACAGAAACCUUCAGUAGACCAAAAGGGGACAUGCUACCUUGAUUUUGCUUUUCAGUGUGAAUACAAACCGUGAAAGCGUGGCCUAUCGAUCCUUUCAUUAUGGGGGUGCUCCAUGGAGAGGUGCCAGAAAAGUUACCACA
rnacentral:rRNA from 1 species